rnacentral:rRNA from 1 species
CCUACGGGAGGCAGCAGUGGGGAAUUGUUCACAAUGGGCGCAAGCCUGAUGACGCAACGCCGCGUGGAGGAUGAAGGUCUUCGGAUUGUAAACUCCUGUUGCCCGGGACGAAAAGCUCCGACCUAAUACGUCGGAGUCUGACGGUACCGGGUGAGGAAGCCCCGGCUAACUCUGUGCCAGCAGCCGCGGUAAUACAGAGGGGGCAAGCGUUGUUCGGAAUUACUGGGCGUAAAGGGCGCGUAGGCGGCCUGCUAAGUCGAACGUGAAAUCCCCGGGCUCAACCCGGGAACUGCGUCCGAUACUGGUGGGCUUGAAUUCGGGAGAGGGAUGUGGAAUUCCAGGUGUAGCGGUGAAAUGCGUAGAUAUCUGGAGGAACACCGGUGGCGAAGGCGGCAUCCUGGACCGAUAUUGACGCUGAUGCGCGAAAGCCAGGGGAGCAAACGGGAUUAGAUACCCCGGUAGUCCUGGCCCUAAACGAUGAAUGCUUGGUGUGGCGGGUAUCGAUCCCUGCCAUGCCGAAGCUAACGCAUUAAGCAUUCCGCCUGGGGAAUACGGUCGCAAGGCUGAAACUCAAGGAAUUGACGGGGGC